rnacentral:rRNA from 1 species
AGAGUUUGAUCCUGGCUCAGGAUGAACGCUAGCGACAGGCUUAACACAUGCAAGUCGAGGGGCAGCGGGUAGAUGAGCUUGCUCAUUUAUGCCGGCGACCGGCGCACGGGUGAGUAACACGUAUGCAACCUGCCCGUCUCAGGGGGAUAAUCGUCGGAAACGGCGUCUAAUACCCCGUAUGAAGCUGGACGGCAUCGUCUGGUUUUGAAAGAAUAUCGGAGACGGAUGGGCAUGCGGCGCAUUAGCUAGUUGGCGGGGUAACGGCCCACCAAGGCGACGAUGCGUAGGGGUUCUGAGAGGAAGGUCCCCCACACUGGUACUGAGACACGGACCAGACUCCUACGGGAGGCAGCAGUGAGGAAUAUUGGUCAAUGGGCGAGAGCCUGAACCAGCCAAGUCGCGUGAGGGAGUACUGCCCUAUGGGUUGUAAACCUCUUUUGUCGGGGAGCAAAAGCCGGACGUGUCCGGCUUUGAGAGUACCCGAAGAAAAAGCAUCGGCUAACUCCGUGCCAGCAGCCGCGGUAAUACGGAGGAUGCGAGCGUUAUCCGGAUUUAUUGGGUUUAAAGGGUGCGCAGGCGGUUGCUUAGGUCUGAUGUGAAAGCCUUCGGCUUAACCGAAGAAGUGCAUCGGAAACCGGGCGACUUGAGUGCAGAAGAGGACAGUGGAACUCCAUGUGUAGCGGUGGAAUGCGUAGAUAUAUGGAAGAACACCAGUGGCGAAGGCGGCUGUCUGGUCUGCAACUGACGCUGAGGCUCGAAAGCAUGGGUAGCGAACAGGAUUAGAUACCCUGGUAGUCCAUGCCGUAAACGAUGAGUGCUAGGUGUUGGAGGGUUUCCGCCCUUCAGUGCCGGAGCUAACGCAUUAAGCACUCCGCCUGGGGAGUACGACCGCAAGGUUGAAACUCAAAGGAAUUGACGGGGGCCCGCACAAGCGGUGGAGCAUGUGGUUUAAUUCGAAGCUACGCGAAGAACCUUACCAGGUCUUGACAUCUUGCGCUAACCUUAGAGAUAAGGCGUUCCCUUCGGGGACGCAAUGACAGGUGGUGCAUGGUCGUCGUCAGCUCGUGUCGUGAGAUGUUGGGUUAAGUCCCGCAACGAGCGCAACCCUUGUUACUAGUUGCCAGCAUUAAGUUGGGCACUCUAGUGAGACUGCCGGUGACAAACCGGAGGAAGGUGGGGACGACGUCAGAUCAUCAUGCCCCUUAUGACCUGGGCUACACACGUGCUACAAUGGACGGUACAACGAGUCGCAAGCUCGCGAGAGUAAGCUAAUCUCUUAAAGCCGUUCUCAGUUCGGACUGUAGGCUGCAACUCGCCUACCCGAAGUCGGAAUCGCUAGUAAUCGCGGAUCAGCAUGCCGCGGUGAAUACGUUCCCGGGCCUUGCACUCACCGCCCGUCA